UCCCUGGUGGCUCAGUGAUAGAGAAUCUGCCUGCCAAUGCAGGAGGCAAGGGUUUGAUCCCUGCCAAGGAA
rnacentral:tRNA from 1 species